rnacentral:rRNA from 1 species
GAUGAACGCUGGCGGCGUGCUUAAUACAUGCAAGUCGAGCGAGGACCACCCGGUGGCAACACCGGGUGACUCCUAGCGGCGAACGGGUGAGUAACACGUGGGCAACCUGCCCCCGACUCUGGGAUAAGCCCGGGAAACGGGGUCUAAUACCGGAUACGAGCCUCCUCCGCCUGGUGGAGGCUGGAAAGGGUCUCCGGUCGGGGAGGGGCCCGCGGCCUAUCAGCUUGUUGGUGGGGUGACGGCCCACCAAGGCGACGACGGGUAGCCGGCCUGAGAGGGUGAACGGCCACACUGGGACUGAGACACGGCCCAGACUCCUACGGGAGGCAGCAGUAGGGAAUCUUGCGCAAUGGGCGAAAGCCUGACGCAGCGACGCCGCGUGCGGGACGAAGGCCCUCGGGUUGUAAACCGCUUUCAGCAGGGACGAAGCGAAAGUGACGGUACCUGCAGAAGAAGGUCCGGCCAACUACGUGCCAGCCGCCGCGGUAACAC